UACGUAGGGGGCUAGCGUUGUCCGGAUUUAUUGGGCGUAAAGAGCGUGUAGGCGGCCAGGUAGGUCUGCUGUGAAAACUCGAGGCUCAACCUCGAGACGUCGGCGGAAACCAUCUGGCUAGAGUCCGGAAGAGGAGAGUGGAAUUCCUGGUGUAGCGGUGAAAUGCGUAGAGAUGCGGAGGAACACCAGUGGCGAAAGCGGCUUCUGGUCCUUAACUGACGCUGAGGCGCGAAAGCAUGGGGAGCGAACGGGG
rnacentral:rRNA from 1 species